ensembl:lncRNA novel transcript
UGCCACUGGUUCCUUGCAGCUGUGACUCCCCAGGGUAAGAGGCAAAGAGCCACCAGGUCCCAGCUGAGGAAGCCCUGUGGUCAGCUCAGACAGGGAUGCGGACUGAAGCCGAAGCAGGUGUUAGUAAUUGUCGUACCUACAGACGAGGAAACCGAGCCUCCAUGAAGUGAAGUGACUCACCCACAGUCACACAGCUAAUAUAUGCCAGAGCCCACAGCAGAACCCAGACGUACUGAGGCCAAGUUCCAUGCCAGCAUAAAACAGGGCCUGCUGAAAUGCCUAGCGCUUCAACAAGGUGAGCUCUUGUAGGCCAGGGGCCAAAUGACGGACAUCAUGUGCCACCAACACCACACAGAUGAAGGCGG